UGGGGACUAUUGCACAAUGGGCGCAAGCCUGAUGCAGCCAUGCCGCGUGUGUGAAGAAGGCCUUCGGGUUGUAAAGCACUUUCAGCGGGGAGGAAGGCGUUAAGGUUAAUAACCUUGGCGAUUGACGUUACCCGCAGAAGAAGCACCGGCUAACUCCGUGCCAGCAGCCGCGGUAAUACGGAGGGUGCAAGCGUUAAUCGGAAUUACUGGGCGUAAAGCGCACGCAGGCGGUCUGUCAAGUCGGAUGUGAAAUCCCCGGGCUCAACCUGGGAACUGCAUUCGAAACUGGCAGGCUAGAGUCUUGUAGAGGGGGGUAGAAUUCCAGGUGUAGCGGUGAAAUGCGUAGAGAUCUGGAGGAAUACCGGUGGCGAAGGCGGCCCCCUGGACAAAGACUGACGCUCAGGUGCGAAAGCGUGGGGAGCAAACAGG
rnacentral:rRNA from 1 species